GUGGGGAAUAUUGGACAAUGGGCGAAAGCCUGAUCCAGCCAUGCCGCGUGUGUGAAGAAGGUCUUCGGAUUGUAAAGCACUUUAAGUUGGGAGGAAGGGCAGUAAGUUAAUACCUUGCUGUUUUGACGUUACCGACAGAAUAAGCACCGGCUAACUUCGUGCCAGCAGCCGCGGUAAUACGAAGGGUGCAAGCGUUAAUCGAAAUUACUGGGCGUAAAGCGCGCGUAGGUGGUUUUGUAAGUUGGAGGUGAAAUCCCCGGGCUCAACCUGGGAACUGCCUCCAAAACUGCAUGACUAGAGUACGGUAGAGGGUAGUGGAAUUUCCUGUGUAGCGGUGAAAUGCGUAGAUAUAGGAAGGAACACCAGUGGCGAAGGCGACUACCUGGACUGAUACUGACACUGAGGUGCGAAAGCGUGGGGAGCAAACAGGAUUAGAUACCCGGGUAGUCC
rnacentral:rRNA from 1 species